rnacentral:rRNA from 1 species
UGGGGAAUAUUGGACAAUGGGCGAAAGCCUGAUCCAGCCAUGCCGCGUGUGUGAAGAAGGUCUUCGGAUUGUAAAGCACUUUAAGUUGGGAGGAAGGGCAGUAAGUUAAUACCUUGCUGUUUUGACGUUACCGACAGAAUAAGCACCGGCUAACUCUGUGCCAGCAGCCGCGGUAAUACAGAGGGUGCAAGCGUUAAUCGGAAUUACUGGGCGUAAAGCGCGCGUAGGUGGUUUGUUAAGUUGGAUGUGAAAUCCCCGGGCUCAACCUGGGAACUGCAUUCAAAACUGACAAGCUAGAGUAUGGUAGAGGGUGGUGGAAUUUCCUGUGUAGCGGUGAAAUGCGUAGAUAUAGGAAGGAACACCAGUGGCGAAGGCGACCACCUGGACUGAUACUGACACUGAGGUGCGAAAGCGUGGGGAGCAAACAGGAUUAGAUACCCAUGUAGUCCCUGAGCGGGCUGGCAAGGCGCAU